AGGAGAGGCAUUCACCCCCCUGAAAAUCUUUAAAAUGGGUAAUGUUCAGGGGGGUGAAUGCCUCUCAUAACCACACUGGCUAGGAACAUGGCAACAGCAUUCUGAUGACAAAUCAUUACAAAUAAUGGCAUUGGCGGCAGUUACGCUUUUUUUG